UCCUACAUACAGAAGGGAGAGGUCAGAUGGGAGGACAUUUGGUGACAUCCUACAUACAGAAGGGAGCGGUCAGAUGGGUGGACAUUUGGUGACAUCCUACAUACAGAAGGGAGUGGUCAGAUGGGAGGUUAUUUGGUGACAUCCUACAUACAGAAGGGAGAGGUCAGAUGGGAGGACAUUUGAUGACAUCCUACAUACAGAAGGGAGUGGUCAGAUGGGAGGACAUUUGGUGACAUCCUACAUACAGAAGAGAGUGGUCAGAUGGGAGGACAUUUGAUGACAUCCUACAUACAGAAGGGAGCGGUCAGAUUGGUGGACAUUUGGUGACAUCCUACAUACAACAUACAG